rnacentral:lncRNA from 1 species
UCAGUAUGCAAUAAGAGUAGAUUGGGUAUGAGAAAGUAUUACUAAUUGCUGAAUUGUGGAUGAUCCAUGAUACCUUUUGUGUUUGCUUAAAAUAUAAAUCAGACACCUUAGGUUAGUGGAGGUGAUGUAAGGGUUACAUUUUGCAUGCCGAAGUACAUGUAGGAGGAAGUUCUUGUCAUCAGGACAUGUAUAUGGCCUGCAAAAACUGCUGCCAGAAGUGACGCAUUGUGAAGGCAACUUUCUCCUGAUGAAACCCGUGGGACAUGGCCAUUACCAACCUAUGUUGUGCUGUGAGUAUCUGACAACAUAGAAGAGGGGGCUUGCUAUAGGGAGGAAUUACAGACUGUGAAAACCUCAAAACAAUAGCGCAGUACUGCCUGCUGUAUGGUUAUUGUAGGGAGGAUCAAUGAGAGUUCCAAGAUCUCAUUUUCAGUUACCAUUUUCAGUGAACAGAGUAACAGACUGCUUCCCACACUUUUGUUUUGACAUUGCUUCUCUGUUUUUUUUUGUGAAUUGCUAGAUUCUAUCAUUAGCAAGUAACUUUUGUGCCUUACCUUGGAACAUCUCUUUAGCAAACUAUCAUGCUUAGUAGGCUCUUCAGAUUCCUCACUGGUUUCUUACAGAGCAGCUGCAGUGAAGUCAUUUAAAUUCUAUGUGCUCAGGUCUAAUGUAAAGCAACCCUUCUCACUUUUCAAUUUAUUUUUCUGUCCCCUACCUGUUUGCCUCAAAGAACCAUCUAGCAUUGAUAAU